rnacentral:sRNA from 1 species
CCCCGCCUGGGGAGUACGACCGCUUGGUUAAAACUCAAAUGAAUUGACUGGGACCCGCACCCUUAGUGGAGCGUGUGGUUUAAUUCAAAGAUACCCGCAUAACCUUACCUACUCUUGACAUGUUCGUUACUACUCUAAGAGAUUAGAGUUUUCGGUUCGGCCGGACGAAACACAGGUGCUGCAUGGCUGUCGUCAGCUCGUGUCGUGAGAUGUUGGGUUAAGUCCCGCAACGAGCGCAACCCUCACUUUUAGUUGCCAUCAUUUAGUUGGGCACUCUGAAAGAACUGCCAGUGAUAAGCUGGAGGAAGGUGGGGAUGACGUCAAGUCCUCAUGGGCCUUAUGUGUUGGGCUACACACGUGCUACAAUGGCAUUUACAAUAGGAAGCAAGUUGGCGACAUUAAGCAAAUCCUAAAAAAAUGCCUCAGUUCGGAUUGUACUCUGCAACUCGAGUACAUGAAGCUGGAAUUACUAGUAAUCCCGGAUCAGCGCGCCGCGGUGAAUACGUUCCCGGGUCUUGUACACACCGCCCGUCACACCAUGGGAGUUGGUUCUACCUUAAGGCAAAGGUUAAUAUCUUUGACCACGGUAUAGUCAGCGACUGGGGUGAAGUCGUAACAAGGUAGCCGUAGGGGAACCUGAGGCUGGAUUACCUCCUUUCUAAGGAUGAUUAGAAAUUAUUUUUUAAUCUAAUUAUUUAACAGGCUAAUGUUGACCGUCUUCAUUUCUUUUCCUGAAAUAGUGUUUCUCUUUUCUGCAUAGGGCCGGUAGCUCAGUUGGUUAGAGCACGCCCUUGAUAAGGGGGGGGUAUCCCCUCCGUCUUCUUCUCGGCCCACCACUGUUAUGGGGGAUUAGUUCAGUAGGGAGAGGCCAUGAAAAGCAUUCAGGAGGUUAGCGGUUGGAUCCCGCUAUCCUCCACCAAGAAACACUUAGUUAUUUUAUUUUGUAAAUAAAUUUUAAUAUUAUCAAUAUGUAUAUCCGAACAUUAAUUAGUGAAAUUGAUGUUCAAACAAAAAUUUGAUUCUACACAGAAUUUUUUUCUG